rnacentral:rRNA from 1 species
UACGGAGGGUGCGAGCGUUGUCCGGAAUCACUGGGCGUAAAGGGAGCGUAGGCGGGCUUCUAAGUUAGGUGUUUAAUCCCAGGGCCCAACCCUGGUCAGGCACCUAAAACUGGGAGUCUUGAAUAGUGGAGAGGACGAUGGAAUUGGGGGUGUAGCGGUGGAAUGCGUAGAGAUCCCCAAGAACACCAGUUGCGAAGGCGGUCGUCUGGACACAUAUUGACGCUGAGGCUCGAAAGCAUGGGGAGCAAACAGG